rnacentral:misc_RNA from 1 species
AGUUUGGUUUAGUUCAGCCAGUCGCGUCGUUCGGUGCAGAGUCGCGUCCCGGAAUUUUAGGGAAUACCGCUCGCAUCGCUCUCGAGCCUCGAGUUUGCAUCAGCGAUAAUUUCUCGCCUUAUUCGCCGGCUAUUUUCCGAAGGAGCAAACCGGGAUUUCCCCUUUUCCAUCAGCUUCCCCGACUCAUCCCAACUCCUUAUAGCCGCUCCUCUUUUCGUCACCCGGUGUUUGGCGCUCUCGCCGCUGUUACCACGGGUAAAAGCCUGAAAUUUUCGACCCUGGAGGGUGAUACGAACGAAAAUUCACCGGGCAACACAAAAAUGGAAGUUAUGGACGCCCUGACCCCCGUCAUUUCGACGCCUUCGACGCCGGCCGUCGAGGUCACCGAGGAGGAUGGACCCACCGUCGAGGAAUCGUACGAAGUUACAACCACCCGCCGAAAGACGGUUCGCACAAGCUACAAAAUUCAGGAAACGUCCGCGUCGACAAAAACAACCACCAUGACAACGGCAGCUAAGCUGUACGGCAAAGACCUCAGCGAAUAUGACGAUGUGGAUGUGGACGAUCUGCUGUCACAGCUUUCGCCCGAGGAAAUAAACAUACUUGCAAAGGAAGUCGAUCCAGAUGAUAGUUUCAUGCCUCCGUCGCAACGUUGCAGUUAUGAAUGUGAUAAAGAUCCAACAGGGCCGUUAAACCGCAAGAAGCUCAUCGAUCACAUCAACAAACAGGCUUUAGAGACACCUGAUAUCCCAGAGUUGAAGCCAUAUGUGCCCGGAACUGUUCGUGGGAAGAAAUGGAUUCCACCACCGCAAGAUAAUCAAAAAGAAAAGGAAGCAGAUGAACAAAUUGCAAUAGAUCUUGGAGAUGAAUAUGAACAGGCUCUUUCCGCCGCAUCUCAAGAAGAGAUCAUCGAUCUCGCUGCCAUCCUCGGUUUUCACUCGAUGAUGAACCAGGACCAGUACCAUGCCUCCCUACUAAACUCUGGCCAACCUGUCGGACUGGGGUGGGACGGUAUUACGAAGGCAAGCCAACCCAAAGUAUUUCCCAUGGAACCUCCAAACAACACAGACGUUGAUGCAACGAUUAAACAAGUUCACGACGAUGAUCACAUGUUGGCGGAUCUGAAUUGGAAUAAUAUUAAGAACAUCUCAGACGAAAAGUUCAUUCAGUUGUUCGAAGCAUUGGAGAUCAACACACACCUCGAAGCCUUGAGUUUGACAAACGUCGGGCUAACCGACAAGACUGCACUCAGAUUAGCUGACGCCAUCGAAAAGAAUUCGACCCUCAGAGUACUCAAUGUUGAAACAAAUUUCAUCAGUCCGUCUGUGAUAGUAAGGCUCAUCAAGGCUCUUCUUAAAACAAAAUCCAUCGAAGAGUUCAGAUGCUCAAACCAGAGAUCACAAGUACUGGGCAACAAAAUUGAGAUGGAAAUAACGCAGUUGGUUGAGCAGAAUCCGAUGCUCCUCCGGCUCGGUCUUCACCUUGAAUUUAAUGAUGCCAGGCACAGAGUCGCCGCUCACCUACAGCGCAACAUUGAUAGGAUACGGAAAGACCUUACGCUGCGGCUACAGUUCAGAUUCUUUAACAUGAACCACAGGAAACCUGAUCUAAUUCAGUAAAGUACGGCAGUCCCGGGUCGGGGCAGCGACAUCCUAGUGCGAUGAGGCGUUCGCCUAGACCGUUUACGCCGCACAGGGAGGGCUUCUCGUAACUACACUAUAGGCUGGGCAAUGCACUAGGAACAUGAAGGAAAAUCUUCGCCAUCAUCCGCUGUCUUGGUAUUCUUAUAUCGCAGUUCGACCGCUUCAAACUUUGUCGAAAAACGAAACGAAAGAGAAAAAAGAGAAAAGCUUGCCUCGAAGAACCAUGGUGUAAAAAUUUGAUGUUAUAUCGAGCAACUCACGGCUGAUGUGGUUUCCACAAUUUCACGAAAGAUAUUCGGUAUUUCGAGGCUGUGGUUGGAGAGACCGAGUCGUUACUGCGAGAAACCAUCGUUGUCUUGUGGAAAAAUGAAAAAUUUGAGAACAAGGGCGAAAAAGAAACCGAGGCUUAAUCUUCCGAAGAUCGCAAAGAUCGGUGCAUCGGGUUCUUCGAGACCAAAGAGAUGCGGAUUAUAUCCUACCGAAGAAUGGCGUCCUACGCCCAGAAGACCUAAGGCCUAGUUGGAAUGGAAACGGCGUCGGCGAAGAAAUAAAAGAAAAAAAAAAAACAAAAACAAAUCGUAGUCUUUUCAUAGAAUCUUGAAUAUUUAAUAAUCCUGCAAUUCGCUUCCGGAAAAUUAGGAUGCAGUACGCAAUCGUAAUUUGUCUUGCUUAAUCGUCCAGUAUUUCUGGUGUCUGCCAUCAAGCUUACGUCGUUUUAAUUAUUUAUUUUUAAUUUUUAAUCUUUUCCUUUGAAGAGAGAGAGAGAGAGAAAGCGAAAGAAAGAGCGGGAGGGAUAGAGAGUGAGGGUUUGUGUGUGUGUGUGUGUCUGCGUGAAAGAGAGAGUGAAAGCGAGAGAUAGAGUUGAGAGAGAGAGGGAGAGAUAGAGAAGUUCUCCUUGGUCGUGUAUGGCGUCAAAAUAUAAGCGCAACUUUUGACUGCAGUGUCGCUUUUUUUUUCUUUUUAGCUGUAGCUUUAAAACGUAUACGUCAUUUUUUUUUUUUUUUUCUCAAUUCUUAAGCCAUUAUAAAUUUUCGGCAGUACACUGCCAGUUUUUUGAAACCACGCGUUCUAAAAAGCGAGGAGACGGAGUGGAAAUUAUAAGUAGAUAUUUAUAUAUGACAGUUCGCGGCUUCGCCUGUCGUAUUGGAUUUGUCAAAGCUCAUUAAUUUGUGCAGCGCACGGGUCGAGCUCUUGUCAUGAUGCGGCGAUCCGGGAAUAGCGAUUCAGCCCGUGGCUGGAAACGAAUUUAUUCCUUUUGUUUUUUAUAUGUACAGAUGUUGCCUCGUUCAGCGUAAAAUUCGAAAGUGGGCGUUUGCCUCGGCCUAUGCGGCAGCGUGUUAACGGUUUUCAUUUUCUUUGUUUCUUUUUUCUUUUCUUCCUCACCUUUAAAGAAUCAAAUUGACCAACAGAAUGAUGAUAGAGCGCAUAAUUCGCGGUUCAGGAUAGGGAUAAUUUGAAUGAUCUUUUGUGCGAACGGAAUUACGAUUAGGUGUCUCAAAGUAUAGUGUCCUGUAUUUUUUAUUUCAAGAAAAAAUAAAAUUAAAACAAACAAUUUGCCCGUGUAUAUUCUGACCGGAAAUGCAACGCCCGAGGAUGUCGUCGCUCUUGAAUGACUUAUAUAUUUUAAAUUUAUGAAAUGAGAAGGAACAAACACGACAAGGAAAAAAAAUUAUACAUGAUAUAUAUAAUAUAAAAAAAAAAAGAAGAAUUUAAAUAUGAUAAUAAAAAGUUUUAAUCCCCGCACUUACUAUUAUUGUAGAAAUGUAUUUUUUAUUUAUAAUAAACGAUAAUAUUUUUAAUUUUAAUGAUAACGUCCAUUAUGAUGUUGUCGAAUACGAAAAUGAUAACGACGAUGAUGGAGUUGGUGAUGGUUGUACUGAAUCACCGUGAUAAAAAUCGUUAAUUUUUAAAUAAGUAAUUAGAGAAAGAAGUGGAAAACAAACGAUGCAACUUAACCUCCUGUAAUGUUCCCGUUGAAAACGAGGCGAACCAUCACGAUGUAAUAAAUUUAGGUCGAUUGUAUGUAUACAUAAAUAUUUGAAAAUAUAUAUCAUAUGGAUAACGAUGAUGAAUAAUA